rnacentral:ncRNA from 1 species
CUUAUAAUUAUUUAUAAGGGAUAGACUAUGUCUUAAGCAAAAUGCCUACUACCAUAUAGUCGUUGAACUUGUCUCUAAUAGAGAUUUGCUGCAAAUUAUCCAAAUUAUUGUAUUAUUACAAUAGUAACAAUAAUCUUAGGAUUUUUUUGCAAUUUGAUAGUAUCGCAAACAUAUUUAUGUUUACUAGCUAUUAACUUUAAUACCCUUCCAAUCAAGGUAUUCAA